rnacentral:rRNA from 1 species
GACGAACGCUGGCGGCGUGCCUAACACAUGCAAGUUGAGCGACGAACCAGGGCUUGCCCUCGCGCAAAGCCGCGAACGGGUGAGUAAUACGUGGGUAACCUACCCCGAUAACCGGGACAACCCGAGAAAACUCGGGCUAUUACCGGAUGUGCUCACUGGACUUCGGUUCUGUGCGUACAGGAAGCUUCCGCCUCCGUAUCGGAAGGGGCUAGCGGCGCGUGAGUUUGUUGGUGAGGUAAGGGCACACCAAGCCCGCGAGGGGUAGCUGGUCUGAGAGGACGGUCAGACACACGGGCUGUGAGACACGGCCCAGACUCCUGCGGUGGGCAGCAGUGGGGAAUCUUGCGCGAGGCGCGAAAGCGGGACGCAGCAACACCGCGUGGGGGAAGAAGGCCUUCGGGUUGGAAACCGCUGAAGGGAGGAGCGAAGGAAAGGCGGUGUAUAGGCGACCGUACUGACGGUACCUGGAGAAGAAGCCCCGGCUAACUACGUG